rnacentral:lncRNA from 1 species
AAAAAAAGGAACUUCUAUGAGCAAAGCCACAGAGGAGAUGAUGGCUGGGACCUGCUCAGGGGCUGGGGCAGUGCCACUCAGUCGGUGCAUCCAAUGUGUGUGGUUUGGUGCCAGAUCUUAGCUUGGGAUGCAGAGAUGAGGAGUUUGGAGCCUUUAAACCGGUUUCUAAAAAGAGCGACGUCCUUCGAUGAGGAUUCCCUCAAUGGUGGUGACAGGAAGGAAAUUGGAUGUGGAAUGUGGAAAGGUGGAAACCUCUACCUUGAACAGGUUGAUGUUGUCGAUCUGGCUCUGGAAGAGAAAGUCGUUGAUGGUCUUCAGCUCCGUCCCUGAGAACAAACACAUGAAGGGCCUUGGGAGCUUCACCCUAAGCCUCAGGUUUCAGUCCCAGGGUUAAGCUCGGAAGUGGCUCAGAUCAGCUCUGGGCCCUCUGAGGGCAACUCUCUUACC